rnacentral:rRNA from 1 species
GAUGAACGCUGGCGGCGUGCCUAAUACAUGCAAGUCGAGCGAACAGACGAGGAGCUUGCUCCUCUGACGUUAGCGGCGGACGGGUGAGUCACACGUGGAUAACCUACCUAUAAGACUGGGAUAACUUCGGGAAACCGGAGCUAAUACCGGAUAAUAUAUUGAACCGCAUGGUUCAAUAGUGAAAGACGGUUUUGCUGUCACUUAUAGAUGGAUCCGCGCCGCAUUAGCUAGUUGGUAAGCUAACGGCUUACCAAGGCGACGAUGCGUAGCCGAGGUGAUAGGGUGAUCGGCCACCCGGGAGCGGAGACGCGGUCCAGGGUCCUACGGGAGGGAGCAGAAGGGAAUCUUCCGCAAUAGGCGAAAGCCUGACGGAGCAAGGCCGCGUGUGUGAUGAAGGUCUUCGGAUCGUAAAACUCUGUUAUGGGGGAAGAACAGAUGUGUAAUGAACUAUGCACGUCUUGACGGUACCUAAUCAGAAAGCCACGGCUAACUACGUG